GAGUGAGCGAAUGAGAGGGAGAGAGAAGGAGAGAGAACGCGCGCGCGUCGCCUGGUGAGAGCGGAGGAGAUCGGCGACGGACGAGAGCAGCCGAAUGCGGACGACGAGAUUAUCGUGUACGUUGGGUGUGACGGUCGCGUAGGGCUCCGUGUGCGCGUAUCGGACCGGCGAAUUGUCGCGGGUUGCUACGUAUUCGAGAUCUGAGCCAGCGUUCCUCACGAGAGAGCCCGCGGCGCUGUCCCUAUCGAGAGCAUGCCGAGCCCGGCCACGAAGAGGACGUACUCGCAGAAAGAAAACGGCACGCGAAACGCAUUGUUGCAGACAACUCUGAUCUCGGUGCGCUCGGAAAUAUUUUAAUAGCAGCAUCAAUCGUGUUAAAUUAAAGAGACGGACAAAAGACUGCAAAUUAUUGUGCAAGUGCAAAGUCCACGAAGUAGAAAACCAAAACAAAACUAAGCUAUUGUUAGUUGCUAGUGGAUCGUGGAUGAUUCGUGGACUGGAUCUUCUCGUAUAUACAUUUCGGAGAGAUACUUUGAAAUACGUUUGAAGAGACAUCAGUAUAUGUGUAUGUUAUGUUCUUCUUGUAAGACGUGAAAGAAAACGCAGCAUUUCUUUGGAGGAGAAAUGGGCGAAUCAGUGAUCAAUAAUAUGGGACAGAACGACAUCGAAGCGACAUAAUUACGUUACGUGGCUCUUGGAAAAGGCGAUGCCAGACUGAUAAUAAAUAAUAAAUAAUAGAUUAGAGUAAAACGCGAAAGGAGUAGAGAGAGAGAGAGAGAAAGAGGAGAGGAGGGGAGAAAAAGGGAAAGAAAGAAAGAAAGAAAAGGAGAAGCAGAGAGAGAGAGAGAGAGAGAGCGCAAAGAUAGAAAAAAGUGCUCGCAACACAGCAAGGGUGGAGAGCAGGAGGAGCACAAGUGCCGGAUAGAAGGCAUCGUAGUAAUGGAUGAAUGGGAGUGAGCGCGACGCACAGGGAGCGCAGGAGCGGGUGCGGACGGGAGCCUCUGGAUGUCGAGGCCGCGGCACUGGCAACGUCAGUGGCAGUGAUGGCCCCUGCUCUGACGGAAGGCGGUCCUCAAAAGCCUGAAAACUUGCUCCCUUCCCUCCCAGCCGGCGGUUUCCUUUCCGCAGAGCAAGCCACGCAGGUGUGCCAGAAUCGUGAGAUCCUGACCAAGUUUGUUGUACCGGCGAACGUGCAACCGUCAAAGAUCGACGACCAAUGCCUGCGUGGUGUCUCGAAAGAUCUGAUACGCGAUGUUAUUAAUUCGAAAUACGCCAACGACCUCGACAGUCUGUCCACGUUCGCGAGCGCAUCUGACUUGAUCACAAAAGACGGCUUGACGGAGCAAGACUUUGAACAGCCGGUCACGCCGGACGGUCCCGAACCGCAGGUGACUGACAUUAUAAUGAACGACCCAUCUAUGGGUGAUCAAAGCAACAACAUGGGCUUCUUGAAAUCGAGCGCGGACCUGCCUCUGGUAGCUUCUGAGACUACGAGUGACAAUAAGAAUUUGGACGUCGAUCAGAUAAUGGCCUUCGGCUCCGACAUCACCACUGACGCCGAGCAAUGCAACAUCGCGAAUGUCGCUGAUAUCGGGCACAAUGUGGACGAGAUCUUGCAAGUAAUCAAGUCGAUCGAGAGUGCCGACACUACCGAGAACAUUACUGCGAGUGGCAGCGAGCCCGUGCAGAGCGCCGUCGAAAUGUUCGCCAUGCCCGAAGAGGGAUUCACCUCCUUCGAGCGAGAUUUACUCAACGAUGUGGACGUGAUGAGUCUUUGCAACGAUAAUAUCAAUAUCUCGGACACGGUGGACCAACAGAAGUCGAACAAUCUGAGACUGCAGCAAGACAUCGUGGCGCAGAAGCAAUUCGAAAAUGAGAGGAAGAGCGCGUUUUUAAUGAGAAGACUGAGGAAACUACAGGCGAGAGCGGUCGGCAGACACGUCGCGGAGGAGACCACCGGCGUACUCGAGUUGGCCCAUCAUGGAGUAAAGAAAUAUUUGUUUCAAGAAUUAGUCAAUAUCGGUUCGAAAUCUAAUGUCAGAAACUUUCCUGAGAUUAGCAGCAGUUUACAUUCGUUUCUGCAGAAAAUGGAGAAAAUGUGCAUCGCUCAGAGUAACAGUGUGAAUCGUCAGAGAGUGUGUUGUCGAUACUUUGGUGGGGGCUCGCGCGACAAUUUGGCCGGCGCAUCUGGCAGCAAUGGCAAUCGUCAGCCGGUAUUUGGUACUCACCAAGUUAAACUGAACGGUGAAGAAGUGGAAAGUGUGGCUGGACCUUUGUCUACGCAGUUACAUGUUGUGGAAUCAAACUUGGAUUCAGAUUGCACAGCAUCCAGCAGCGGUGGAGAAAGUUGCGACGAAAUGCAGACGUUUAACAAUCCUCAUCAACAACACCUGUCCAUAUCCAAAAGAGCAGCAUGGAGAUAUGCGCAGGAUCGUGCAGGUGUAGCAUCACGGUGGACCUGGCUGCAGGCACAAAUAUCAGAUUUAGAGUACAGAAUUAGGCAACAUAACGAAAUGCAACGGCACAUUAGGGCCACAAAGGGCUUGGUUAUGCUCGAUAAUACGGAGACUGUUAACGGGUACAGUGGCGCUCUACCUGGUUCUACCGGACGAUACAAUUCACCUGAAAGUGAAUUACCAGCUAGUAGAACGCGCCCAUUCGUAUGGAGUUAUUACAGGAAGAGAAAGCUUGUGCAAGUGGACAAGCUGCAUGAAGUUUCAAAGCGUGCAGCUAAAGCGUCAACAGUAAGAUGCAACUGCGAUCAUGUGUUGCCUGCGUGUGCUUUAUGCACAGGAAGGCUUGAUCCAAUGCAACCGCAAGAACCAAUUGAACAGCUUUCUAUACAGGAACGUGUAGCACUUGUUGAUCCUAGUUUUCAUCCGGUGUUGUCGUUCCCAGACGAAAUUGUGCACGGCACUCAUUUGGAAGCCAUUAUGAAGUCGGUGGAGUGGCAACAAAAGAUCUUGAGAGCAAACUUGCGAGUUACCCGAGUGAAAGAUAAAGACGGCAGUGAAAGAAGAAAUAAGAAACUUCCUGGUCACAGAACUAAAUAUACCGCACGAUUGAAAAAAUCAUCCUCGACUAUUCUUACAGCAAGGAUCAAGAGAAAAGUGUUGAAAAAUGGCAAAAGAAAUAGACUCGGUCACGAGAGAAGCGUGCACGGAUUGAACAAGAAACGAAUAUCAAAGAUGCCAACCGAAGAUGACGACGACAUUAGCGCGCUUUCAAGUUCCAGUAAACACUCGUCUCCAGUGCCUUCUCCAUUGCAACAUGUUACUGCCUCAUUGGAGAAAAAUACUGUUAAAGAGAAAAGUUCCAAUUCCCACGGGCGUUUGCGACAAAAUUCGUACGACAUUGACAAUAUAGUCAUCCCCUACAGUGUCGCUGCUUCAACUAGGCUCGAAAAGUUACAAUACAAAGAGAUUUUAACACCAAAGUGGAGAUUGUGCGAGGAGACCGCGAAAAUGGACGUGAAAAAUGGUGUGAUGCACAGGCCUGAUCAAGAUAGUGAUUUUGAAGAUAUGUCUGAUGAAACGAUUGCCUCAAGGCAUGAACGUAGCGAGCGGGAGGAGAACAAACGUUUCAUGACGUACAUCAACAUGCCCCAUCAGACACGUAUUCGUCAUAACCAGCGUCGUGUUGACAGCAGAGCAGACAGCGGCGCGAAUACGCCAGAUCCCAUGUCGCCGCACGCGGCGAGCGACCUGAGUGGUGACGUGAUAUCUCCCAUCACGUCUCCACCCGCUACUCCGUCGCAGGUGCAAGACACGGAGCAUCCAGCAUCUAGUCUGGAUUCGCACCGACCGACCGCUCUGCAAAACGCUCUACGACGUCGCGUUAUACCCGCGUCAACAGCUGCGUCAUUGAGACUGGGAAGAGACGAUGCUACUGCGGUCGCAUUUACCGAAGACGAAAACGAGGUUUCGCCAUACGAGCCGAGAAUAUUCCCACUAUCCGAGGAAGUUUACGACAAGAUGCUGAAAGUGAUGCCGGACGGACACUGGCAAACCUCGUCGACAUCUCUGUGCUCCCGCGACAGAGACAAGGCUGAUGAUGUACGUACAUUGUACUUUUAUUGAUACCGUGUCGCAUUAAAAUAUCUGAGAAGUUUUAAUUAUAUCAAUGUAUGGGUGCUAGUACUGACUAUUAAUGUACACUUUGAGCCAACUUUCAUGGCUCCUCUCGAGGCUAUCUCUCUCCGGACGUGGAAAUGGAUUCUCCUGAAUCAGAUUCGACCGAAUCGGCUUGUUGCGAUAUAGAUGGUG
rnacentral:misc_RNA from 1 species